rnacentral:rRNA from 1 species
AGUGAACGCUGGCGGUAGGCCUAACACAUGCAAGUCGAACGGCAGCACAGGAGAGCUUGCUCUCUGGGUGGCGAGUGGCGGACGGGUGAGGAAUACAUCGGAAUCUACCUUGUCGUGGGGGAUAACGUAGGGAAACUUACGCUAAUACCGCAUACGACCUUCGGGAGAAAGUGGGGGGCCGCAAGGCCUCACGCGAUUAGAUGAGCUGAUGUCGGAUUAGCUAGUUGGCGGGGUAAAAGCCCACCAAGGCGACGAUCCGUAGCUGGUCUGAGAGGAUGAUCAGCCACACUGGAACUGAGACACGGUCCAGACUCCUACGGGAGGCAGCAGUGGGGAAUAUUGGACAAUGGGCGCAAGCCUGAUCCAGCCAUACCGCGUGGGUGAAGAAGGCCUUCGGGUUGUAAAGCCCUUUUGUUGGGAAAGAAAUCUUGCCGGUUAAUACCUGGCGAGGAUGACGGUACCCAAAGAAUAAGCACCGGCUAACUUCGUGCCAGCAGCCGCGGUAACAC